GAUCAACGCUGGCGGCGUGCAUAACACAUGCAAGUCGAACGAUGAAGAUUAAAAGAUUUCUUCGGAAUGAACUUAAUUGGAUUAGUGGCGGACGGGUGAGUAACGCGUGAGUAACCUGCCUUGUACAAGGGGAUAGCCGUUGGAAACGACGAAUAAUACCCUAUGACAUCAAAUAAUCGCAUGAUAAUUUGAUCAAAGAUUUAUCGGUAUAAGAUGGACUCGCGUCUGAUUAGCUAGUUGGUAGAGUAAAAGCCUACCAAGGCAACGAUCAGUAGCCGGCUUGAGAGAGUGUACGGCCACAUUGAGACUGAGACACGGCCCAGACGCCUGCGAGAGGCAGCAGUGGGGAAUUUUGCACAAUGGGGGAAACCCUGAUGCAGCGACGCCGCGUGAUUGAGAAUGCCUUCGGGUUGUAAAAAUCUUUUGUAUGGGAAGAAAAUGACAGUACCAUACGAAUAAGGACCGGCUAAUUACGUG
rnacentral:rRNA from 1 species